AAGGGUGGGAACAGCUUGCUCCCACUUCUCCACAGCCCUGUUCCAGCAGCCCUCCUCUGCUGGCUCAGAAGUGAGAUGGAGCUGUGAGAACUCAGGCCACGAGGCCAGUUAGUUCCGUGCUAUUUUAGCAGCGUUUACUGAGUAUGUGCCAGGCACUUAUCCAUGUCACUGGCUCUCUGUGCACGAGAAAGCCAAGGGGGCCCUUUGUGGUGCCCGGAUCAAGUGAGGACCCAGUUUUGUCCUCCCCAGAGCGACAAGGCACCAUCUUGGAAGCAGGGAUGGGGUCCUCAGAUGACAAAGCUGCCGGCACCUUGCUCUUGAACUUCCCACCACCAGCAUGUGCUGUGGCGAAGCAGGUUAAAGCCCUGGCUUGAAGCUCCGGCAUCCCAUAUCGGCGCCGAUUCGAGACCCGGCUGCUCCACUUCCAAUCCAGCUCUCUGCUAUGUCCUGGGAAAGCAGUAGAAGAUGGCCCAAGCCCUUGGGCCCCUGUACCCAUGUGGGAGACCCAGAAAAAGCUCCUGGCUCCUGGCUUCAGAUCAGCGCAGCUCCAGCUGUUGCGGCCAUCUGGGGAGUGAACCAGCAGAUGGAAGACCUCUCUCUCCGUCUCUAACUCUCUCUGUAACUGUCUUCAAGUAAAUAAAAUAAAUUAAAAAAAAAAAAAGACAAGCAUGUUCCAAAAUUUGCAUGAA